rnacentral:rRNA from 1 species
AUUGAACGCUGGCGGCAGGCCUAACACAUGCAAGUCGAACGGUAACAGGAAGAAGCUUGCUUCUUUGCUGACGAGUGGCGGACGGGUGAGUAAUGUCUGGGAAACUGCCUGAUGGAGGGGGAUAACUACUGGAAACGGUAGCUAAUACCGCAUAACGUCGCAAGACCAAAGAGGGGGACCUUCGGGCCUCUUGCCAUCGGAUGUGCCCAGAUGGGAUUAGCUAGUAGGUGGGGUAACGGCUCACCUAGGCGACGAUCCCUAGCUGGUCUGAGAGGAUGACCGGCGGCACGGGAACGGGGACACGGUCCAGACGCCUACGGGAGGCAGCAGUGGGGAAUAUGACACAAUGGGCGCAAGCCUGAUGCAGCCAGGCCGCGUGUAUGAAGAAGGCCUUCGGGUUGUAAAGUACGUUCAGCGGGGAGGAAGGGAGUAAAGUUAAUACCUUGACUCAUUGACGUUACCCGCAGAAGAAGCACCGGCUAACUCCGUG